GAUGAACGCUGGCGGCAUGCCUAACACAUGCAAGCCGAUCGGUAAGGCUCUUCGGAGUACACGAGAGGCGGACGGCUGAGUAACGCGUAGGAACACACCCUGCAGUGAGGGAUAAGACACCGAAAGGUGUUCUAAUACCGCAUACGGUCUUCGGAUUAAAGCAUUUAUGCGCUGAAGGAGUGGCCUGCGUCAUAUUAGAUAGUUGGUGAGGUAAUGGCUCACCAAGUCGAUGAUGUGUAGCUGGUCUGAGAGGAUGAUCAGCCAGACUGGAACUGAGACACGGUCCAGACUCCUACGGGAGGCAGCAGUGAGGAAUAUUUCACAAUGAGCGAAAGCUUGAUGGAGCAAUGCCGCGUGCAGGAUGAAGGCCCUCGGGUUGUAAACUGCUUUUAUAAGAGAAGAUUAUGACGGUAACUUAUGAAUAAGGGACGGCUAACUACGUG
rnacentral:rRNA from 1 species